rnacentral:tRNA from 1 species
GAGAGAGGUGUGUUUACAAUAAGAACUGCUAAUUCUUCUUCACCCAAGUUAAAAUCCUGGGCUCACUCG